GAACCCACCGUGAUCCGUCAAUUGUCAAAAUAUAAAUCAAAACAAACGCGAGUGCCGAUGAUAUGUAGCCGGAUGUAAUUUUCCGUCAGUGAAGUUUAAGCUUUUAUUGUUGAACGCGGUUUCAAAUUCUUUUCCGUUGCUCUACAGUUUGUCCCCUGGAUUGUUAGCAAUCACUGGGAUUCGAGUUGAGAUGCCUCGCAGCUACCAAAGGAAAACGAAUCGAGGGAGUUGGUCCCAAGAGAACCUCACCCUUGCAAAAGAGGCUAUUGUUAGUGGAGUUUCUAUCAAACGUGCUUCCACGACUUUCGAACUACUGAUGUAAAUUUAAUGUUGGAUUUAAGCUGUUCGAUAAAAUUAAAUGAAUUAAAUUGAACGAAAAAUAAUGACUGUAUGGUCUUAACGAAAAUAAUAAACUAAUUUCAACUAAACAUAA